rnacentral:misc_RNA from 1 species
AACGCACAUUGCGCCCCUUGGUAUUCCGAGGGGCAUGCCUGUUCGAGCGUCAUUUCACCAAUCAAGCACUGCUUGGUAUUGGGCGUCCGGCCCCGCGAGAGCGGCGGCCGCGCCCCAAACCCUUCGGCGGAGCCACUCGGUCUCUGGGCGUAGUAGAAUUACUUCAAUAACGUCCUGGGAGCCCUUGGGGUCUCCCGCCGUCAAACCACCAAAUAUUUUUUCAGGUUGACCUCGGAUCAGGUAGGGAUACCCGCUGAACUUAA